GACAGCAGGCUACACUGAGUCCGGGAGGCUCCUUUUCCUUUUGUGAAGCUAUAGUUACCCCCAAAUACAGGUCUAGUCUAAGAGGAAGCUCUUUCCUAGGCUCCCCACAGCCCAGCUGGAGAAUCAAAUGUGAGUUCCUGAAUAUUCUUGGUAAGCGCAAGAAAGAAACAAAAUAUAUGUUGCCCACCUCAUCCCAAGGCCCAGCUACACAUCGAUAGCCUGGUUUACCAAGCACGUGGGGCCAUUCCCACAGGCUGACUGGAAGGAUUUACAUUCUAGCUCCCAAGGCCUGGCCUGCCUCCACAGAUACUGAGCUAAACACCCUUCAUUCAGGGAGAACUACUUCCUAAUUCUGCCUGGGACACCUUCUAACUGGGAUCUUGAGCAAGCCAGUUUUCCUCUCUGGGCCUCAACUUUCCCAUCUUUAGAACUGGAUGAAUAACAGUCUCCUUGCACUGAAGAUGAGAGAAUCAAAUCAGGGGAUGGAUGUGAAGAGCCUAGCAGGUGCACAAAGUCACUGCUUGGGAAAGACUCACCACAUAAUUUCUGAAGGGAUCUCUCAGAGUAGGUUUCCCGGUCGCAGCCUUUGCCAAUGUAAUUGGUCUGCAGCUCCGUGGUGAUCUGGAUGGAGGACACGGCCCCAUCGCACGUCUCCAGGUGGAUGCUGGGGAAGAGCGGCACACUCCCUGAGCCAGGCUGGUACUCAAUCCUCUUGGUCCAGUCUGAAUUAACAAGGAACAGAUUAAAGUCAAUUGGGCGAAGGCAGAAAACGGCAGCCAGCUGAGCUGAGCCAGGCGGGAAUGCACGAAACACGCACGUGGACACACCUCAAGAACCUCUCAGCGCCGCAGUCCACUGUGUGUUGUGACCACGUCCACCUGCACCGGCAGUUGCAACUUUCCAUCCCAUCCAGACGGCCCUGUGUCCCCCCCUCACAGUCCAGCCCUGGCGGCCACGCUUCCCUGUCCUCUCUACCAGCAAACACCAGGUCUCUUCAAAGGGAAGUGCCAUAUUGAUUGCAGUAC